rnacentral:rRNA from 1 species
UACAGAGGUCUCAAGCGUUGUUCGGAUUCAUUGGGCGUAAAGAGCUCGUAGGCGGUGUGUCGCGUCGGCCGUGAAAACCUUGGGCUUAACUCAGGGCUUGCUUUCGAUACGGGCAGACUAGAGGUAUGCAGGGGAGAACGGAAUUCCCGGUGUAGCGGUGAAAUGCGCAGAUAUCGGGAGGAACACCAAUGGCGAAGGCAGCUCGCUGGGACGUGACUGACGCUGAGACGCGAAAGCGUGGGGAGCAAACAGG